GUUGAACGCUGGCGGCGUGCCUAAUACAUGCAAGUCGAGCGAAGCGGGGACGGGUGAGUAACACGUGGAUCACCCCCUAUAAGACUGGGAUAACUUCGGGAAACCGGAGCUAAACCGGAUAAUUAUCGCAUGAUCCUCGCUGCAUUAGCUAGUUGAGACGGUAACGGCUUACCAAGGCAACGAUGCAUAGACGACCUGAGAGGGUGAUCGGCCACACUGGAACUGAGAAACGGUCCAGACUCCUACGGGAGGCAGCAGUAGGGAAGCUUCCGCAAUGGGCGAAAGCCUGACGGAGCAACGCCGCGUGAGUGAUGAAGGUCUUCGGAUCGUAAAGCUCUGUUAUUAGGGAAGCGGUACCUACUCAGAAAGCCCCGGCUAACUACGUGCCAGCAGCCGCGGUAAUAC
rnacentral:rRNA from 1 species